UCGGGAAUUUUGGGCAAUGGGCGAAAGCCUGACCCAGCAACGCCGCGUGAAGGAUGAAGUAUUUCGGUAUGUAAACUUCGAAAGAAUAGGAAGAAUAAAUGACGGUACUAUUUAUAAGGUCCGGCUAACUACGUGCCAGCAGCCGCGGUAAUACGUAGGGACCAAGCGUUGUUCGGAUUUACUGGGCGUAAAGGGCGCGUAGGCCGCUCUGUAAGUCGGAAGUGAAAGACCACGGCUCAACCGUGGAAACGCUUUCGAAACUGUGGAGCUUGAGGCCGGGAGAGGAGAUCGGAAUUCCUGGUGUAGCGGUGAAAUGCGUAGAUAUCAGGAGGAACACCCGUGGCGAAGGCGGAUCUCUGGACCGGUUCUGACGCUGAGGAGCGAAAGCUAGGGGAGCAAACAGGAUUAGAUACCCAUGUAGUCCCUGAGCGGGCUGGCAAGGCGCAU
rnacentral:rRNA from 1 species